rnacentral:rRNA from 1 species
AACGAACGCUGGCGGCAUGCCUAACACAUGCAAGUCGAACGAGACCUUCGGGUCUAGUGGCGCACGGGUGCGUAACGCGUGGGAACCUGCCCUUAGGUUCGGAAUAACUCCCCGAAAGGGGUGCUAAUACCGGAUAAUGUCUUCGGACCAAAGAUUUAUCGCCUUUGGAUGGGCCCGCGUUGGAUUAGCUAGUUGGUAGGGUAAAAGCCUACCAAGGCGACGAUCCAUAGCUGGUCUGAGAGGAUGAUCAGCCACACUGGGACUGAGACACGGCCCAGACUCCUACGGGAGGCAGAAGUGGGGAAUAUUGGACAAUGGGCGAAAGCCUGAUCCAGCAAUGCCGCGGGAGUGAUGAAGGCCUUAGGGUUGUAAAGCUCUUUUACCCGGGAUGAUAAUGACAGUACCGGGAGAAUAAGCUCCGGCUAACUCCGU